UACGAAGGGUGCAAGCGUUACUCGGAAUUACUGGGCGUAAAGCGUGCGUAGGUGGUUCGUUAAGUCUGUCGUGAAAGCCCCGGGCUCAACCUGGGAAUGGCGAUGGAUACUGGCGAGCUAGAGUGCGGUAGAGGAGAGUGGAAUUCCCGGUGUAGCAGUGAAAUGCGUAGAGAUCCGGAGGAACACCAGUGGCGAAGGCGGCGCCCUGGGCUGAAACUGACGCUGGGACGCGAAAGCAUGGGGAGCGAACGGG
rnacentral:rRNA from 1 species